UGAGCUAUGAGGAUAAAAUUAUUACCCGAUGAACCCUGAAGACGGUAUACGCUAUUCUGAGCCAAGG